AUUGAACGCUGGCGGCAGGCCUAACACAUGCAAGUCGAACGAGUGGCGGACGGGUGAGUAAUGUCUGGGAAACUGCCUGAUGGAUGGGGAUAACUACUGGAAACGGUAGCUAAUACCGCAUACCAUCAGAUGUGCCCAGCUGGGAUUAGCUAGUUGGUGGGGUAACGGCUCACCACGGCGACGAUCCCUAGCUGGUCUGAGAGGAUGACCAGCGACACCGGACCUGAGAGACGGUCCAGACGCCGACGGGAGGCAGCAGGGGGGAAGAUGGCAGAAUGGGCGCAAGCCUGAUGCAGCCAUGCCGCGUGUAUGAAGAGGGCCUUCGGGGUGUAAAGGACUUUCAGCGGGUAGGCGUUACCCGCAGAAGAAGCACCGGCUAACUCCGUGCCAGCAGCCGCGGUAAUUC
rnacentral:rRNA from 1 species